rnacentral:rRNA from 1 species
GNAAUUAUUGGGCGUAAAGAGCUUGUAGGCGGUUGGUCGCNUCUGCUGUGAAAGGCUGGGGCAUAACCCUGGUUUUGCAGUGGGUACGGGCUAACUAGAGUGCAGUAGGGGAGACUGGAAUUCCUGGUGUAGCGGUGGAAUGCGCAGAUAUCAGGAGGAACACCGAUGGCGAAGGCAGGUCUCUGGGCUGUAACUGACGCUGAGAAGCGAAAGCAUGGGGAGCGAACAGGAUUAGAUACCCUGGUAGUCCAUGCCGUAAACGUUGGGCACUAGGUGUGGGGGACAUUCCACGUUUUCCGCGCCGUAGCUAACGCAUUAAGUGCCCCGCCUGGGGAGUACGGCCGCAAGGCUAAAACUCAAAGAAAUUGACGGGGGCCCGCACAAGCGGCGGAGCAUGCGGAUUAAUUCGAUGCAACGCGAAGAACCUUACCAAGGCUUGACUUAUACUGGACUGCGUCAGAGAUGGCGUUUCCCUUCGGGGCUGGUAUACAGGUGGUGCAUGGUUGUCGUCAGCUCGUGUCGUGAGAUGUUGGGUUAAGUCCCGCAACGAGCGCAACCCUCGUUCUAUGUUGCCAGCACGUGAUGGUGGGGACUCAUAGGAGACUGCCGGGGUUAACUCGGAGGAAGGUGGGGAUGACGUCAAAUCAUCAUGCCCCUUAUGUCUUGGGCUUCACGCAUGCUACAAUGGCCGGUACAGAGGGUUGCGAUACUGUGAGGUGGAGCUAAUCCCUAAAAGCCGGUCUCAGUUCGGAUUGGGGUCUGCAACUCGACCCCAUGAAGUCGGAGUCGCUAGUAAUCGCAGAUCAGCAACGCUGCGGUGAAUACGUUCCCGGGCCUUGUACACACCGCCCGUCAAGUCACGAAAGUUGGUAACACCCGAAGCCGGUGGCCUAACCCUGGUGGGGGG